AAGAAUUUAACAAACAUAAUUUUAUAUAAAUAUAACAAGUUUCUAUUCAUCGAACAAUUACACUUUCUUUUUCGAAUAAUGCUGAGCAUACACAAACAAUCCCCCUUUGCAAUUUGAAUGGCUCACCGCACCAUUGAAUGAAAUUUAGUACAUGUCUACGUGAUUUCACCAAUCUAGCUAAUUCCAUCAAUAUUCUGUAGAACUGCCUUCCGAUCCACACUCUGCAUUUCAGUUUAGGUCGUAUAGCAUCUACACGUCGGCAGGUGAAUACAAGCUUGUUGAGCCUGCCAAACCAACAACAAUCAGCCCAUGUUAACAAACUCACAGUUUCUAAACAAAAACAGAACUAUUAGUUAUUCUGAGUUAGGGGGCUAGCUUGUACAGGAUUUGCACUGUCAAAUACACAAAAAAUAUAUAUGUAUAAGAAGAGUUGGAUUAAUGAGAGAAUAAGCUUAAACUUUUUUUUUUCCAACCGGCAAAACAAUUUAUAACAGUGUGAUUGAGGGAAUCACGCUAAACCCCCAAAAAUAUGGAUACGUCGGAUAAACUUAUACUCUAUCACAAAUAUUAUUCCCCCAGUUACAAAUGAGAUGAUCCCGUGAUAGAAAUCUGAACUUAUUCCCAGACGCUUUCUUUCUUCUAUCAAAAAAAGAAAAAAACUUAUACUCUAUCACAAAUAUUAUCCCCCCAGUUACAAAUGAGAUGAUCCAUGAUAGAAAUCUGAACUUAUUCCCAGACGCUUUCUUUCUCCUCAAAAAUUCUGCAACUUCUCUUCAUCCACACUUCCCACUUUCCCAGCAUAUGACAUGGAAAAGAAUCUUCCAUAUCUGCCUUCCUGUCGUGCUAAGGUUUCUAGGAACCCACACUACACCAAUGGAGCUAUAAAACCAUACCCAGAUCUGUCUGCUAAAAGUAGAAUAAGCUACUGAUUUAUAAGAAGAGUAGGAUUAGUUAGAGGAUAAGCUUAAACAUGGAGUUAAUAGCUACUAUUAGUAAUUUAUUUCUAUUUUGCCCUUCGUUGAGUGGAGAAAAACCUUAGAGUGACCACUAAGCCACUAACCACCUUAUUGUUGAAAUCAACACAAAGGCUGUGCCUUCCAGAGCUUAUCAGAUAUAAUACCCCCUUUUUCCAUCUCCCACAAAGAAAACCUAAGUAUCCACUGUUGCUAAGGACAUAGCUAUGUACAAUUUCUGAAUUUCACACAUCUAAUGUAUAGUAGGCGACAUUAGGCAUUGCUUAAAUUAUUGUACACUUGCUUCAGAGUGUAGCUACAAUGUCAAAUAAUGUAACCAGGCUUAAAAUACAAAAACCAGCAAUCAAUGAAUGCAAACACCAGAAGCAUUUAAACGGCAGACUCUCAACACUGAAUUCAUAAUAUACAAACUAAGAUGGAGAUAGCAGAAUUGCAGCAAAUUUCACAUAAUCUGAAACAGCUUUACAUAAACAUCAGCAGUACCAAAUGCAAUGACUAUGACCACAUUUAUAUUCAUUAUAAAUACAAAAUUAGUAGCCAUGGAUAGAGGCAUGAGAAGGCUUGUAUAUCAAUCGACAAUAGAAAUAAAAUUCAGAUGUUUGUAAUUAGAGAAGAAAUGGUCAAAGUUUUGGCGCAAUUGCAGACUGACACUAAAUUUGGGGAAUCUUGAGUUAUCUUUAUCCAUUCUCGAUAAAAGAAAAAUAUCAAUCAGCCUUAUAAAACAAUGUUGAGAGGAGAAUAAAGUGCAACAGAAAUGGAAAAAUUCUUAGAGAGUUCUAUUAUAUUGAGGAGUGUAUGCCCUAGGGGCAGUUUAGUCCUUUAGUAGUUAUUUAUUAAUAUAAUGUGUAGAGAGGCUGACCCUACAGGGUGUGCAUCUUUCUCUCUCUUUUCUGUCUGCUUCUCUCUCUUCAAUACCUUAGUUCUCAACUUGGUAUCAGAGCCAGGUUUAUCUCUCCUUUUCCUAAAUUAUUUUUUUUUCUUCAGGUUUUGUGAGUCAUAAAGUGAUUGGUUUGUAGGAGUUUCGCAGAUCCGUCCUUUUUUUCUUCUCCUUUUUUGGUGUUUGUUGUGAUACUUAAACCAAACCCCAGAUGAUUUGCAGUGGUUGACAUCUAGGGAUUGAUGUGUGCGUGAUCGGUGUGGAUUUCGGCUAGUUUUUUUUCUGUUUGUGGUGGUGUUCAAGUUGUGGCAACAGCUUCUCGUAGGUGUGUUUGCGUGUUGUGAAAUCCACAGCCAUCUUCUUUGUUGUGUUUGUGGUGGCAGUAAAUCGUUUUGCACAGGUUUGUGGUGGCAGUAAAUCGUUUUUUUUUUUUUUUCUCUCUAGAACAUGGGUGAGGAAGCUAAAACCAGCUCGAAGCCUCCUUUGUAUUAUGUUAACGAUGAUCUUGGAAAGCCCAUUACUAAUAUUCGUUUGAAUGGGAACAAUUAUUUGUCUUGGAGUUAUGCGGUUGAACACUUCAUACGUGCGAAGAAGAAAUCUAAGAUUCUUAAUGAGGAUCCACCAAGUUCUAGUGAUGCUACCUAUGAGGACUGGAUGGCUUCUAAUUCUAUGGUUCUGACCUGGUUAUGGAAUAGUAUGGAACCCAAAGUUCUUACUAAUGUGCAGUUCCUACCCACAGCAAAACAGGUUUGGUCAUCGUUGAAGGAGAUGUAUUCUCAGGAGAACAAUAUAAGUCGUAUUUAUGAUUUGUUUGAGUCUUUGUUUAAGACAAAACAAGGAGAUCAACCACUUGAUGAAUAUUAUAGUACUAUGAAAAGCCUUUGGGAGGAACUUUUACUUUAUCAGCCGUUUACAAUUGAUCUGGAGAAACAAAGGCAACAACGUGAACAGUUUCAGGUUGCCUUACUACUGAAUGGUUUGAAUUCUGAAUAUAGAGUUUAUAAAGAUCAACUUUUAUCCAGCGAAACAGUUCCUUCUGCUGCCCAAGCUUUUUCUCGUCUUCAAAGAAAGCGACAAGAACAUGGUGAAUCUGUUUCCGUUGCUAAAGAGUCAUCAUCCUUACUCUCUACUUCUAGCACUCGUGGUGGUCGUGGUGGUUAUGGUGGCGGUCGUGGUCGUGGAGGUCGUAGCAAUUAUAAUAGUGGUAGAGGCAAUCGUGGUGGUUUUGGGGGUCGUAGUAACUCUGGUACUGGUAGAGGUAAUCGUGGUAUUGAUGACAGGAAGUGUAGCUUUUGUGGUAAAGAUGGGCACACUGAGCUUUUUUGUUGGGAUAAAUACCCCCCUCUACAUAUGCCAAUAAUGCUUUCGAUCAAUCUUUUGGGUCUUUUGCUGUUGCGACCCCAGCUGUUCAAGCUGAAUCUUCACCAACUGACAUGUUGGGCCAAAUUUUGAGUCGUCUCAACUCAUUAUCUGUGUCUUCUACGACACCUACUGCUACCAUGGCGAGUUCUGGUAAGUCUGCUUGUUUGGCGGUUCCUUCUUCCUCUUGGAUCAUUGAUUCUGGAGCUAAUGCUCAUAUGACCGGUAAUUCUUCCCUUCUUUCAAAUUUUGUGCCCACUAAGAGUAGUAUGAACUUAGCUGAUAGUUCUUCCCGUCCUAUUCUUGGUACCGGUGUUCUUCGUCCUACUAAGUCUUUAUCAUUAAAGUCAAGUCUUUAUGUUCCCAAUCUCUCAUUUAAUCUUGUUUCUGUUAGUGAACUUACUAAAUCCCUUCGCUGUUCGGUAACCUUUACUCCUACUGGUUGUGUUUUUCAGGACCUCAAGACGAAGAUGGUGAUUGGUUCGGGAUAUGAGCGUAAUGGGUUAUAUGUUUUGAAUGUUGAAGAGUCCAGUUCGAUGCUUGCUUUAAGUGCGUCUGUGUCUCCCCUUCAAUGGCAUUGUCGUCUUGGUCAUCCAUCAUUGGUUAAGUUGCGUCCAUUAAUUCCUAAAUUGAGUCCAGUGUCUGUUUUAAAUUGUGAGGCAUGUCAAUUGGGAAAGCAUCAUCGUAGUACCUUUCCUAGUAGGAUUAAUAAGAGAUCUUUGAGUCCUUUUGAUGUAGUCCAUACUGAUAUUUGGGGUCCUUCAAGAAAUAAAAGUUUAAAUGGUUUUCUUUAUUUUGUUGUAUUUGUUGAUGGCUUUUCUUGAAUGACAUGGUUGUAUUUGUUAAAGGAUCGUACUGAAUUACCUCGCAUAUUGUCUAUUUUUUAUAAUGAAAUCAUGACCCAAUUUGAUAAGAAAAUUAAAAUUAUUCGGUCCGAUAAUGCCUUGGAGUAUACCCAAUCUUGUGUGAGAGUUUUUUGUGAAGAUCGAGGUAUUAUUCAUCAAACCACUUGUCCCCAUACCUCUCAGCAGAAUGGCAUCGCUGAGCGUAAACUUCGCCAUUUACUAGAUGUUACUCGCACUAUGAUGUUUGCAAUGGGUGUGCCUAAACCCUAUUGGGGUGAUGCUGUUUUGACUGCUAAUUAUCUCAUUAAUCGUAUGCCAUCAUCAGUUUGUGAUAAUCAAUCUCCUUUUGCAUUAAUGUACUCGUCCCAUCCUUCUUAUGCUUUACCGCCGCGCGUUUUUGGUUGUGUUGCAUUUGUUCACGUUCUCGGUACUGGUCAUGACAAGUUGGAUCCUCAUUCCAUCAAGUGUGUUUUUGUAGGUUACUCUCGCACUCAGAAAGGGUAUCGUUGUUAUAGUCCCGUCACUCGUAGGUAUUAUGUCAGUGCAGAUGUUACUUUCUUUGAGUCUACAUCUUACUUUUCCUCUUCUGGCAAGAAGUUUGAUCCAGACUUAGUGUCAUGUCGUGAGGGGGAGCUUAUAUGUCCAGCGUCUUCCCCAGUUGUUCCUAUUCCGGUUGUUCCUAGUACAGUGGUUAAUGAUGUGUCUGGAAGAGUUCCUCUUGCCUAUGUGCGAGGUAACAUGCCCAUUUAUGCUCAAUAUCGUCGUACUUUUCCUCGGAAGAUUGCUAGUGACUCAUCCCCGAAUCAACCAUCAUCUUCUACAGAGGUUUCGUUGGUUCAUAGUGAUCAUGUUACCAUUGAUAUUCCAUCUCUUGAGGUUAAUCUUGAACCUAUUGCUAAGCGAACCAGGUCUCAAACUGCACAUCCUAUUGCUAAUUUUGUUUCUUUUCAUCGUACUAGUCCUGUUUUUCGCACUUUUGCUUUGUCUGUGUCUACUGUUCUAGUUCCAUCUUCUCUUACCAAGGCACUUGCUUCUUCUGGCUGGAAAUUAGCAAUGGAAGAAGAAAUUUCAGCACUUCAUGAUAAUAAGACUUGGGACCUUACACCACUUCCACCAGGAAAGAAAACUGUUGGUUGCAGAUGGGUUUAUACAGUGAAGUACUUACCAGAUGGUUCGGUUGAACGUUUAAAGGCGCGUUUGGUCGCGAAAGGGUAUACCCAGACCUAUGGGGUCGAUUAUUUGGAAACGUUUUCUCCUGUUGCUCGGCUUAACUCUGUUCGAAUCCUGCUUUCUGUUGUUGUCUGUAAAGGCUGGCCACUUUUUCAGUUGGAUAUUAAAAAUGUUUUCUUGCAUGGUGUGCUACAGGAAGAGGUGUACAUGGACCAACCACCUGGGUUUGUUGUUCCUGGUCAAGAAUCUAUGGUUUGUAAGUUGAAGAAAGCUAUUUAUGGAUUAAAGCAGUCCCCUCGUGCAUGGUUUGAUCGAUUUAGUUCUGGGGUUCUUCAAUUUGGUUUUCAUCGCUCUGUUUCCGAUCAUUCUGUCUUUGUUCGACAUUCGGCUUCUGGCACUAUUAUUCUUAUUGUUUAUGUGGAUGAUAUCAUUAUUUCUGGUGAUGAUGCAGCUGGUAUAUCUGAUUUGAAGACAUAUUUGGGUCGUCAUUUUCAUACGAAGGAUUUAGGACUUCUUCGCUACUUUCUUGGGAUUGAGGUUGCUCGAUCUUCUGCUGGUCUCUGUUUGUCUCAACGUAAGUAUGUUCUUGACCUUCUUACUGACACAGGGCUUCUGGGUGCCCGUCCAGAAGAUACUCCUAUGGAUCCUACUGUCAAGCUUGAUGCUGACCAGGGGGAGGUGUUUUCUGAUGUUGGUCGCUAUCGGCGUCUUGCUGGACGUCCUAUUUAUCUCACUGUGACUCGUCCAGACAUUACUUAUGCAGUUGGGAUGGUUAGUCGGUUCAUGCAUGCUCCGCGAACUCCUCAUUGGAAUGCCGCGCUUCGUAUUUUGAGAUAUUUAAAGGGUUCUCCUCGCAAGGGACUUCUUUAUCGCCCCACAAAAACACUAGAUAUUUGUGGUUUUUCAGAUGCGGAUGGGGCAGGUGAUCGUUCCAAUCGUCGGUCGACAUCUGGGUAUUGUACCUUUGUUGGUGGUAAUUUAGUCACUUGGCGUAGUAAGAAGCAAAGUGUUGUUGCUCGGUCAAGUGCAGAAGCUGAGUAUCGUGUUAUGGCUCACACAGCUUCUGAAAUGUUGUGGGUUCGACAUCUCUUGACAGAAAUGGGUGUUCCUGUUAUUUGUCCUAUGUCUAUGUAUUGUGACAAUCAAGCUGCGAUCUUUAUAGCGAGUAACCCAGUGUUUCAUGAGCGCACUAAACAUAUUGAGGUUGAUUGUCAUUUCAUUCAUGACUUGAUCAUCUCCAAGCAAAUUGUAACUCCAUAUGUGAAGUCUGAAGAUCAGUUGGGUGAUGUUCUUACUAAACCUUUGGAUGGUAGUAGUUUCUCUGCUAUGUGUUUCAAGCUGGGCAUGUUUGAUUUGUAUGCUCCAGCUUGAGGGGGAGUCUUAGGUAGCGUUUGAUAACAGGGUUUUCCUGUGGCAAAUCGGGUUUUGCCCGCUUUUUUAGUGUUUGCCCCCGUUUGAUAACCAUUUGAGUGAUCAGAUAUUAUUUGCCUCUAAACCCUCACGUGACCAAAUAUUUGCCCCGAUACCCGCUUAAAAGCAGACAAAUUUUGCUUGACUAUACCCCAGGCAAAAUUUGCUUUGCCACUCCGACCACUUUUAUUUGCCCAGUAUAAAUAACAACAAAAAAUAAAAAAAUAAAAAGAAAACACCACCCAAACCUAAAACUCACUUCUCAUCCAUGGCGGCCACUGACUUGACGAACACCAUAGCGAU
rnacentral:lncRNA from 1 species